ACCUGGUUGGCUCAGUUGGUAGAGCAUGGGACUCUUGAGCUCAGGGCUGUGAGUUUGAGCCCCACACUGGGUG
rnacentral:tRNA from 1 species